rnacentral:rRNA from 1 species
UACGUAGGGUGCGAGCGUUAAUCGGAAUUACUGGGCGUAAAGCGUGCGCAGGCGGUUUUGUAAGACAGGUGUGAAAUCCCCGGGCUUAACCUGGGAAUGGCAUUUGGGACUGCAAGGCUUGAGUGCGGCAGAGGAGACUGGAAUUCCUGGUGUAGCAGUGAAAUGCGUAGAUAUCAGGAGGAACACCGAUGGCGAAGGCAGGUCUCUGGGCUGACACUGACGCUCAUGCACGAAAGCGU